rnacentral:rRNA from 1 species
GUAGGUGAUGAAAUUCCUCCUCAAGCCAUAAGAAGAAUGGGUGUUGGUUUUAUCCUACCCAUUGAGGAACCCCUUGUGGCCGAAGGAGAAGGACAAUGCUCCACUCGAGUGGAGCCAUCACCAACCCAAGGCCCACACGCUUCCGAAGAACAAAGUGAAGGCCCUCAACCGCAUGAACAAGACCAAGGGCAAAAUCAUGAUCAAGACGGUGGAGACACACCAAGUGAUGCCCAAGGUCAAGUUCUCUCCUCCGAGCAAGUUCAAGAUCAAGAACAAGCUCAAGACGGCGCUCAAGAU